AGUCUACAUGUCUCAGCUGUUGGUGCGUCAAUGAAUAUUUGCUGAAUGAAUGAGCAAGAAGCACUAUUGCCAAGGUGGAUCAGCCCUCAAGAUGUACAAAAGUGACAAAAAGAAGGGGAUAUCACAGACUGUUACUGAAGCAGCUCCCUGAGGGAUGGUCUGAGGAUACCAAGAUUAGAAGCACUUUGUCAUUUAAGCUAUAUUGGUGGCUGGAAAGUAAUUUUCAGGAUCAUAUUAGCAAAACAGGCUCCUGUAAUCAAGCUGAUCCUUGGCAACUGUUCACUGGAAACUCCUUUGACACCCAUCAAGUCGUUCUCUUCAUUAAUGCCUUAAUAAGUCUUCGGAAUCAAAGAAUAACUCAAAAAGAAACGUAAUUUCAGAGACCAGAGUCAAAAUGAACCUUAAGGAUGUUUGAUAUGCUACCAUGCAAACAAGAAAUGGACUGAUUAGGGGAAAGGGAAGGGAUCAGUAAACCCCAAGGGGUAUUGAAUGGAAUGGGGAUGGCCCACACAUUUGUGAACCUCUAAUCCUCCUGAAAGUUUUGGAAUUUGGGAGAUUUGUGUAAACUUGACCACUAGGCCACCUAACACAUUUUGUUUACAUUUAGAUUUAGAGAUUUUGAGAAAGUGUUAGAAAACUUUGAGAUUCUGCCUCCUGAAAUAGAAUCCUUAAAUGAAAUCUAAAAUUUCAUAAAUAGUGAGAUAUUCUAGUAAUAGUUGAAAUGCAACAUGAUAUCACUCACAUGCUCAACAAGAUCCGGGAAACUAUCUUGAGUAAGGCAGGCAGAUAAGAAAUUUAUUUAACAUAUUUAAGUCAAGUCUUUCUGAAGAUGUGAUUUGACAUAAU